rnacentral:rRNA from 1 species
AGCUUGCUUCUUUGCCGGCGACCGGCGCACGGGUGAGUAACACGUAUCCAACCUGCCCUUUACUCGGGGAUAGCCUUUCGAAAGAAAGAUUAAUACCCGAUGGCAUAAUGAUUCCGCAUGGUUUCAUUAUUAAAGGAUUCCGGUAAAGGAUGGGGAUGCGUUCCAUUAGGUUGUUGGUGGGGUAACGGCCCACCGAGCCUUCGAUGGAUAGGGGUUCUGAGAGGAAGGUCCCCCACAUUGGAACUGAGACACGGUCCAAACUCCUACGGGAGGCAGCAU